rnacentral:rRNA from 1 species
AACGAACGCUGGCGGCAUGCCUAACACAUGCAAGUCGAACGAGACCUCCGGGUCUAGUGGCGCACGGGUGCGUAACGCGUGGGAACCUGCCCUUAGGUUCGGAAUAACUCCCCGAAAGGGGUGCUAAUACCGGAUAAUGUCUUCGGACCAAAGAUUUAUUGCCUUUGGAUGGGCCCGCGUUGGAUUCGCUAGUUGGUAGGGUAAUAGCCUCCCAAGGCGAGGAUCCAUAGCUGGUCUGUGAGGAUGAUCAGCCACACUUGGACUGAGACACGGCCCAGACUCCUACGGGAGGGGGCAGUGGGGAAUAUAGGACAAUGGGCGAAGGGCUGAUCCAGCACUGCCGCGUGAGUGCUGAAGGCCUUAGGGUUGUAAUGCUCUUUUACCCGUGAUGAUAAUGACGGUACCGGGUGAAUAAGCUCCGGCUAACUACGUG